rnacentral:rRNA from 1 species
UACGAAGGGUGCAAGCGUUACUCGGAAUUACUGGGCGUAAAGCGUGCGUAGGUGGUUUCUUAAGUCUGCUGUGAAAGCCCCGGGCUCAACCUGGGAAUUGCAGUGGAUACUGGGGAGCUAGAGUGCGGUAGAGGGUAGUGGAAUUCCCGGUGUAGCGGUGAAAUGCGUAGAGAUCGGGAAGAACACCGGUGGCGAAGGCGGCCUGCUGGGCAGUUGCUGACACUGAGGCGCGACAGCGUGGGGGAGCAAACAGG